rnacentral:rRNA from 1 species
AUUGAACGCUGGCGGCAGGCCUACCACAUGCAAGUCGAACGAGUGGCGGACGGUUGAGUAAUGUCUGGGAAACUGCCUGAUGGAGGGGGAUAACUACUGGCAACGGUAGCAAAUACCGCUUACCAUCAGAGGUGCCGAGAGCGGAUGAGCUCGUUGGUGGUGUAACGGCUCACCAGCGCGACAAUCCCUAGCGGGUCUGACAGGGUGACCAGCCGACCGGGAACGGAACCACGGUCCAGAGUCCUAAGGUAGGAAGCAGUGGGGAAUAUUGCAAAAUUGGCGCAAGCCUGAUGCAGCCAUGCAGCGUAGAUGAGGACGGCCUUCGGGUUGUAAAGUUCUAGCCGCGGGGAGGCGUUACCCGCAGAAGAAGCACCGGCUAACUCCGUGCCAGCAGGCGCGGUGAUUC